rnacentral:rRNA from 1 species
GACGAACGCUGGCGGCGCGCCUAACACAUGCAAGUCGAACGAGCGAGAGAGAGCUUGCUUUCUCGAGCGAGUGGCGAACGGGUGAGUAACGCGUGAGGAACCUGCCUCAAAGAGGGGGACAACAGUUGGAAACGACUGCUAAUACCGCAUAAGCCCACAGGUCGGCAUCGACCAGAGGGAAAAGGAGCAAUCCGCUUUGAGAUGGCCUCGCGUCCGAUUAGCUGGUUGGUGAGGUAACGGCCCACCAAGGCGACGAUCGGUAGCCGGACUGAGAGGUUGAACGGCCACAUUGGGACUGAGACACGGCCCAGACUCCUACGGGAGGCAGCAGUGGGGAAUAUUGCACAAUGGGGGAAACCCUGAUGCAGCGACGCCGCGUGGAGGAAGAAGGUCUUCGGAUUGUAAACUCCUGUUGUUGAGGAAGAUAAUGACGGUACUCAACAAGGAAGUGACGGCUAACUACGUGCCAGCAGCCGCGGUAAAACGUAGGUCGCAAGCGUUGUCCGGAAUUACUGGGUGUAAAGGGAGCGCAGGCGGGAAGACAAGUUGGAAGUGAAAUCUAUGGGCUCAACCCAUAAACUGCUUUCAAAACUGUUUUUCUUGAGUAGUGCAGAGGUAGGCGGAAUUCCCGGUGUAGCGGUGGAAUGCGUAGAUAUCGGGAGGAACACCAGUGGCGAAGGCGGCCUACUGGGCACCAACUGACGCUGAGGCUCGAAAGUGUGGGUAGCAAACAGG